CAUGAAGCUGGAAUCGCUAGUAAUCGCGGAUCAGAAUGCCGCGGUGAAUACGUUCCCGGGUCUUGUACACACCGCCCGUCACACCAUGAGAGUUGGGAAUACCCGAAGCCUGUGAGCUAACUUUUAGAGGCAGCAGUCGAAGGUAGAAUCAAUGAUUGGGGUGAAGUCGUAACAAGGUAUC
rnacentral:rRNA from 1 species